UACGUAGGGGCCGAGCGUUGUCCGGAGUACUGGGCGUAAGGCGCGCGCAGGCGGCUCGUCAAGCCUGACGUGAAAGCCCCCGGCUCAACCGGGGAGGGUCGUCGGGGACUGGCGGGCUUGAGGUCGGCAGGGGUUGGUGGAAUUCCCGGUGUAGUGGUGAAAUGCGUAGAGAUCGGGAGGAACACCCGUGGCGAAGGCGGCCAACUGGGCCGGACCUGACGCUGAGGCGCGAAGGCGUGGGGAGCGAACGGG
rnacentral:rRNA from 1 species